GAUGAACGCUAGCGGCAGGCCUACCACAUGCAAGUCGAGGGGUAACUAGAGUGAUAGCAAUAUUACUUUGGCUAGACCGGCGCACGGGUGCGUAACACGUAUGCAACCUACCUUAUACUGGGGAAUAACUUCGAGAAAUCGGCGCUAAUACCCCAUAACAUUUCGAAGAGGCCUCUCUUUGCAAUUAAAGCUCCGGCGGUAUAAAAUGGGCAUGCGUCCAAUUAGCUAGUUGGUGAGGUAACGGCUCACCAAGGCUACGAUUGGUAGGGGUUCUGAGAGGAUGAUCCCCCACACUGGUACUGAGACACGGACCAGACUCCUACGGGAGGCAGCAGUGAGGAAUAUUGCGCAAUGGACGAAAGUCUGACGCAGCCAUGCCGCGUGCAGGAUGACGGCCCUAUGGGUUGUAAACUGCUUUUGUACGGGAAUAAACCCUUCUACGUGUAGGAGGCUGAAGGUACCGUAAGAAUAAGCACCGGCUAACUCCGUGCCAGCAGCCGCCGUAACAC
rnacentral:rRNA from 1 species